GACGAACGCUGGCGGCGCGCCUAACACAUGCAAGUCGAACGGAGCUGAGAGAAGCUUGCUUUUCUUAGCUUAGUGGCGAACGGGUGAGUAACGCGUGAGUAACCUGCCUUGGAGUGGGGGACAACAGUUGGAAACGACUGCUAAUACCGCAUAAGCUCACGAUCCGGCAUCGGCUUGAGGGAAAAGGAUUUAUUCGCUUCAGGAUGGACUCGCGUCCAAUUAGCUAGUUGGUGAGGUAACGGCCCACCAAGGCGACGAUUGGUAGCCGGACUGAGAGGUUGAGCGGCCACAUUGAGACUGAGACACGGCCCAGACUCCUACGGGAGGCAGCAGUGGGGGAUAUUGCACAAUGGGGGAAACCCUGAUGCAGCGACGCCGCGUGGAGGAAGAAGGUUUUCAGAUUGUAAACUCCUGUCGUUAGGGACGAUAAUGACGGUACCUAACAAGAAAGCACCGGCUAACUACGUG
rnacentral:rRNA from 1 species